rnacentral:rRNA from 1 species
GAAUGCUGACAUAAGUAACGAUAAAGCGGGUGAAAAGCCCGCUCGCCGGAAGACCAAGGGUUCCUGUCCAACGUUAAUCGGGGCAGGGUGAGUCGACCCCUAAGGCGAGGCCGAAAGGCGUAGUCGAUGGGAAACAGGUUAAUAUUCCUGUACUUGGUGUUACUGCGAAGGGGGGACGGAGAAGGCUAUGUUGGCCGGGCGACGGUUGUCCCGGUUUAAGCGUGUAGGCUGGUUUUCCAGGCAAAUCCGGAAAAUCAAGGCUGAGGCGUGAUGACGAGGCACUACGGUGCUGAAGCAACAAAUGCCCUGCUUCCAGGAAAAGCCUCUAAGCAUCAGGUAACAUCAAAUCGUACCCCAAACCGACACAGGUGGUCAGGUAGAGAAUACCAAGGCGCUUGAGAGAACUCGGGUGAAGGAACUAGGCAAAAUGGUGCCGUAACUUCGGGAGAAGGCACGCUGAUAUGUAGGUGAAGCGACUUGCUCGUGGAGCUGAAAUCAGUCGAAGAUACCAGCUGGCUGCAACUGUUUAUUAAAAACACAGCACUGUGCAAACACGAAAGUGGACGUAUACGGUGUGACGCCUGCCCGGUGCCGGAAGGUUAAUUGAUGGGGUUAGCGGUAACGCGAAGCUCUUGAUCGAAGCCCCGGUAAACGGCGGCCGUAACUAUAACGGUCCUAAGGUAGCGAAAUUCCUUGUCGGGUAAGUUCCGACCUGCACGAAUGGCGUAAUGAUGGCCAGGCUGUCUCCACCCGAGACUCAGUGAAAUUGAACUCGCUGUGAAGAUGCAGUGUACCCGCGGCAAGACGGAAAGACCCCGUGAACCUUUACUAUAGCUUGACACUGAACAUUGAGCCUUGAUGUGUAGGAUAGGUGGGAGGCUUUGAAGUGUGGACGCCAGUCUGCAUGGAGCCGACCUUGAAAUACCACCCUUUAAUGUUUGAUGUUCUAACGUUGGCCCCUGAUCGGGGUUGCGGACAGUGUCUGGUGGGUAGUUUGACUGGGGCGGUCUCCUCCUAAAGAGUAACGGAGGAGCACGAAGGUUGGCUAAUCCUGGUCGGACAUCAGGAGGUUAGUGCAAUGGCAUAAGCCAGCUUGACUGCGAGCGUGACGGCGCGAGCAGGUGCGAAAGCAGGUCAUAGUGAUCCGGUGGUUCUGAAUGGAAGGGCCAUCGCUCAACGGAUAAAAGGUACUCCGGGGAUAACAGGCUGAUACCGCCCAAGAGUUCAUAUCGACGGCGGUGUUUGGCACCUCGAUGUCGGCUCAUCACAUCCUGGGGCUGAAGUAGGUCCCAAGGGUAUGGCUGUUCGCCAUUUAAAGUGGUACGCGAGCUGGGUUUAGAACGUCGUGAGACAGUUCGGUCCCUAUCUGCCGUGGGCGCUGGAGAACUGAGGGGGGCUGCUCCUAGUACGAGAGGACCGGAGUGGACGCAUCACUGGUGUUCGGGUUGUCAUGCCAAUGGCACUGCCCGGUAGCUAAAUGCGGAAGAGAUAAGUGCUGAAAGCAUCUAAGCACGAAACUUGCCCCGAGAUGAGUUCUCCCUGACUCCU